GAAGGUAUAGCUCAGUGGUAGAGUGCAUGCCAAGCGUGCGCAAGGUCCUGGGUUCAAUCCCCAGCACUUUCU
rfam:Camelus ferus unplaced genomic scaffold scaffold142, whole genome shotgun sequence.